rnacentral:snoRNA from 1 species
AUAAUUUGUGAUGAUGAGAUGGUGUCUCAUAUUCUCAAUGGUUUGAACUACGACUACAAUCCUUUUGUGUCAGCUACUCUUAGUCGAUCAGAUC